rnacentral:misc_RNA from 1 species
GGGUGGAGGUGGAGGAGGGGGUGGCGGCGCUGGCGGCUGUUGAUUGCUGACUCAUGCACCAAACAUGGCACUCGGAUGUUGGAUGAACGCUAGAAUGCUCGUUCGGCUGCCUGUAAAAAAGAUAGCGCAAUUUACAAAUAAUGUACAAUUUAGGUCCUUUUACGUUAGCUUUAUUCUAUUAAUUUUUUUAGAUAAACUUUAUUCUAAUAAACUGUUAACGUGAGAUUGUGUAUAUACUUAUAUGUAGUUGUACAUGGUGAUAAAUAUAUGGUUAAUUUUUUUUAAAAUAUUUAAU